rnacentral:rRNA from 1 species
AGAGUUUGAUCAUGGCUCAGGACGAACGCUGGCGGCGUGCCUAAUACAUGCAAGUCGAGCGGACUUAAAAAGCUUGCUUUUUAAGUUAGCGGCGGACGGGUGAGUAACACGUGGGCAACCUGCCUGUAAGACUGGGAUAACUUCGGGAAACCGGAGCUAAUACCGGAUAAUCCUUUUCUACUCAUGUAGAAAAGCUGAAAGACGGUUUACGCUGUCACUUACAGAUGGGCCCGCGGCGCAUUAGCUAGUUGGUGAGGUAACGGCUCACCAAGGCGGCGAUGCGUAGCCGACCUGAGAGGGUGAUCGGCCACACUGGGACUGGGACACGGCCCAGACUCCUACGGGAGGCAGCAGUAGGGAAUCUUCCGCAAUGGACGAAAGUCUGACGGAGCAACGCCGCGUGAGUGAUGAAGGUUUUCGGAUCGUAAAACUCUGUUGUUAGGGAAGAACAAGUACGAGAGUAACUGCUCGUACCUUGACGGUACCUAACCAGAAAGCCACGGCUAACUACGUGCCAGCAGCCGCGGUAAUACGUAGGUGGCAAGCGUUGUCCGGAAUUAUUGGGCGUAAAGCGCGCGCAGGCGGUCCUUUAAGUCUGAUGUGAAAGCCCACGGCUCAACCGUGGAGGGUCAUUGGAAACUGGGGGACUUGAGUGCAGAAGAGAAGAGUGGAACUCCACGUGUAGCGGUGAAAUGCGUAGAGAUGUGGAGGAACACCAGUGGCGAAUGCGACUCUUUGGUCUGUAACUGACGCUGAGGCGCGAAAGCGUGGGGAGCAAACAGGAUUAGAUACCCUGGUAGUCCACGCCGUAAACGAUGAGUGCUAAGUGUUAGAGGGUUUCCGCCCUUUAGUGCUGCAGCAAACGCAUUAAGCACUCCGCCUGGGGAGUACGGCCGCAAGGCUGAAACUCAAAGGAAUUGACCGGGGGCCCGCACAGCGGUGGAGCAUGUGGUUUAAUUCGAAG